CUGAAAUUGCAGCAGCAGGUGUCUCUUCCUCUUUUUCUUCUUUUUUCUCUUCCUUGUUUUCUUCUUCUUCUUUCUUUGGCUCAGGCUCAGGCUCAGCUACAGGUUUUUCUUCUGCUUUGGGUUUGGCAGUGAACUCGUGGUUGUUAAGGGCUUCUUGAAUAAGCUGCUUAAGCUCAUCAAGGGCCUUCUUUUGAGGCUCAGGAAGUUCACCAGCGAUAUUAGUUUCCUCUUUGAAAGAAACAGACUGGGUUAUCUUAGUUUCUUCCUUUUCUUCAACCUUGGGCUUCUCAACUUCAACAGCUUCUUCUUCAACAGCAACAACAGCCGGCUUCUCGGGCACCUCAGGUUCCGGCAGGGGAGCAGGUGCGGAGGGUUGUGGCUCUUUCUCAGUAACUUGAGGCUUCUCGACAACCACAGACACCUCCUGGGCGGGGGCAGCAGGUGCAGAUUCAGAGUCAAGAGUCUCCUGGGCCAUGGGUAAGUAAGAGAGGAAGAAUGAAAGUUGUAAGAAAGGGAGAAGAAUGAAGAGGGGGCUUAAAAAUGGAAGAAACAAGA
rnacentral:lncRNA from 1 species